UACGUAGGGGGCAAGCGUUGUCCGGAUUUAUUGGGCGUAAAGAGCGUGUAGGCGGCCAUGUAGGUCCGUUGUGAAAACUCGAGGCUCAACCUCGAGACGCCGAUGGAAACCAUGUGGCUAGAGUCCGGAAGAGGAGAGUGGAAUUCCUGGUGUAGCGGUGAAAUGCGCAGAUAUCAAGGAAGAACACCCGUGGCUAAGGCGGCUCUCUAGUACGGUACUGACGCUGAGACGCGAAAGCGUGGGGAGCAAACAGG
rnacentral:rRNA from 1 species